UGCGCCUGUAGCUCAAUUGGAUAGAGCGUCGGUCUACGGAACCGAAGGUUGCGUGUUCGAGUCACGCCAGGCGUAU
rnacentral:tRNA from 1 species